AUACAAAACCGUACACGGCACAGUUCAUUCAGUGUUUCGACUUCGUACGGAACGGAUCGAAAGACGUAAACCAUCGUUCUGAAAUACAAAUUAACGACAUAAGAAAAUUGUUGAGCUGAUGAUAACGGAAUUAAAGAUGUAUUUUCUCGGUGCGAAAGAAAUGGAACAACAAAAGUUGACAAGGGUAGUUUUCGUUACGAAAUUUUUCUCGUCGGAGGCGACGUUCGCAGCGACCUACAUUCCCGAACGCCAAUAAAUAUCUCGAAUUAACAGGAGAUCUCGCAGAUGGAAGAAUAGUACGCGACAGUAAUUAUCACCAGGAAUUUUAAUUAAAAAUCGUAAUUUUUCGGCCGACAAGGAUGAUAAAUGCCGUUCCUCGUCGAUCGUAAUUCUCGUUCCAACGUUUCAUACUCGGAAUAAAAAGUAUAAAGAGAAAUAAUUUUGGACCAUUUGGACCAAAAAGAGAAGA